GACGAAGGGGGCUAGCGUUGUUCGGAAUUACUGGGCGUAAAGGGCGCGUAGGCGGCCUGAUAAGUAGGGGGUGAAAUCCUGCGGCUUAACCGCAGGGCUGCCUUCUAAACUGUCAGGCUCGAGCACAGUAGAGGCAGGUGGAAUUCCCGGUGUAGCGGUGGAAUGCGUAGAGAUCGGGAAGAACAUCAGUGGCGAAGGCGGCCUGCUGGGCUGUUGCUGACGCUGAGGCGCGACAGCGUGGGGAGCAAACAGG
rnacentral:rRNA from 1 species